GAUGAACGCUGGCGGCGUGCCUAAUACAUGCAAGUCGAGCGAACGGACGAGAAGCUUGCUUCUCUGAUGUUAGCGGCGGACGGGUGAGUAACACGUGGAUAACCUGCCUAUAAGACUGGGAUAACUUCGGGAAACCGGAGCUAAUACCGGAUAAUAUUUUGAACCGCAUGGUUCAAAAGUGAAAGACGGUCUUGCUGUCACUUAUAGAUGGAUCCGCGCUGCAUUAGCUAGUUGGUAAGGUAACGGCUUACCAAGGCAACGAUGCAUAGCCGACCUGAGAGGGUGAUCGGCCACACUGGAACUGAGACACGGUCCAGACUCCUACGGGAGGCAGCAGUAGGGAAUCUUCCGCAAUGGGCGAAAGCCUGACGGAGCAACGCCGCGUGAGUGAUGAAGGUCUUCGGAUCGUAAAACUCUGUUAUUAGGGAAGAACAUAUGUGUAAGUAACUGUGCACAUCUUGACGGUACCUAAUCAGAAAGCCACGGCUAACUACGUGCCAGCAGCCGCGGUAAUACGUAGGUGGCAAGCGUUAUCCGGAAUUAUUGGGCGUAAAGCGCGCGUAGGCGGUUUUUUAAGUCUGAUGUGAAAGCCCACGGCUCAACCGUGGAGGGUCAUUGGAAACUGGAAAACUUGAGUGCAGAAGAGGAAAGUGGAAUUCCAUGUGUAGCGGUGAAAUGCGCAGAGAUAUGGAGGAACACCAGUGGCGAAGGCGACUUUCUGGUCUGUAACUGACGCUGAUGUGCGAAAGCGUGGGGAUCAAACAGGAUUAGAUACCCUGGUAGUCCACGCCGUAAACGAUGAGUGCUAAGUGUUAGGGGGUUUCCGCCCCUUAGUGCUGCAGCUAACGCAUUAAGCACUCCGCCUGGGGAGUACGACCGCAAGGUUGAAACUCAAAGGAAUUGACGGGGACCCGCACAAGCGGUGGAGCAUGUGGUUUAAUUCGAAGCAACGCGAAGAACCUUACCAAAUCUUGACAUCCUUUGACAACUCUAGAGAUAGAGCCUUCCCCUUCGGGGGACAAAGUGACAGAUGGUGCAUGGUUGUCGUCAGCUCGUGUCGUGAGAUGUUGGGUUAAGUCCCGCAACGAGCGCAACCCUUAAGCUUAGUUGCCAUCAUUAAGUUGGGCACUCUAAGUUGACUGCCGGUGACAAACCGGAGGAAGGUGGGGAUGACGUCAAAUCAUCAUGCCCCUUAUGAUUUGGGCUACACACGUGCUACAAUGGACAAUACAAAGGGCAGCGAAACCGCGAGGUCAAGCAAAUCCCAUAAAGUUGUUCUCAGUUCGGAUUGUAGUCUGCAACUCGACUACAUGAAGCUGGAAUCGCUAGUAAUCGUAGAUCAGCAUGCUACGGUGAAUACGUUCCCGGGUCU
rnacentral:rRNA from 1 species